UACGGAGGGGGCUAGCGUUGUUCGGAAUUACUGGGCGUAAAGCGCACGUAGGCGGCUUUGUAAGUUAGAGGUGAAAGCCCGGGGCUCAACUCCGGAACUGCCUUUGAUACUGGAGAGCUUGAGUCCGGAAGAGGUGAGUGGAACUCCGAGUGUAGAGGUGAAAUUCGUAGAUAUUCGGAAGAACACCAGUGGCGAAGGCGGCGCUCUGGACCGAGACUGACGCUGAGGCGCGAAAGCGUGGGGAGCAAACAGG
rnacentral:rRNA from 1 species